UUAAGUUCAGCGGGUAGUCUCACCCGAUUUGAGGUCAAGGGUUUGUGGGUCGGGUCGAAACCCGAACAUUGUCUUUGUUUAAAGACGGUUGGAAGCAGGUGCUGCGAAAACCCAAGACGUAGAAUAAUGCUUAUCACGUCAAGGAUCACCAAAGCGGGUCCCACUGAUUCAUUUAGGAGGAGCUGGCUCUGAAAGGAUAC
rnacentral:misc_RNA from 1 species